rnacentral:rRNA from 1 species
AGUGAACGCUGGCGGUAGGCCUAACACAUGCAAGUCGAACGGCAGCACAGUAAGAGCUUGCUCUUACGGGUGGCGAGUGGCGGACGAGUGAGGAAUACAUCGGCAUCUACUUUUUCGUGGGUGAUAACGUGGGGAAACUUACGCUAAUACCGCAUACGACCUACGGGUGAAAGCAGGGGAUCUUCGGACCUUGCGCGAUUGAAUGAGCCGAUGUCGGAUUAGCUAGUUGGCGGGGUAAAGGCCCACCAAGGCGACGAUCCGUAGCUGGUCUGAGAGGAUGAUCAGCCACACUGGAACUGAGACACGGUCCAGACUCCUACGGGAGGCAGCAGUGGGGAAUAUUGGACAAUGGGCGCAAGCCUGAUCCAGCCAUACCGCGUGGGUGAAGAAGGCCUUCGGGUUGUAAAGCCCUUUUGUUGGGAAAGAAAAGCAGCAGGUUAAUACCCCGCUGUUCUGACGGUACCCAAAGAAUAAGCACCGGCUAACUUCGUG